GGCGCGUGGCGUUGGGAGCGUAGCCGUGGUAGGUGAGCGCAGGGGUGACACGGAAUGGGAGCCGGCCGCGGAGGUGGUUUUCCGUGGUCAAGCACGCAGCCAGUCGCACAGGCAAAUCCGUGCGGCGCGUAUGGCGAGGUGCGAUGAUGGGAGCCGUUUCGGCUCGAUAUCCGGUGGUCCAGGCCGUCGAGAAAAGCCCCGGCGUCAGGCGCGUUGCCGCCCGUACCCCAAACCGACACUGGUGGUCAGGUAGAGAAUACCAAGGCGAUCGAGCGAAUCCUGGUCAAGGAACUCGGCAAACCGCUCCCGUGCCUCCGGCAUAAGGGAGACCCCCGCGGGUGAACGGACAUGCUCCGGGAGCGUGUGGGGGUGGCACAGACCAGGGGGUAGCGACUGUUUACCAAAAACACAGGUGCAUGCGAAGGCGUAAGCCGCUGUAUAUGCACUGACGCCUGCCCGGUGCCGGAAGGUUAAGAGGAUCCGUCAGCCCCUUGGGGGUGAAGCGGUGAAUUCAAGCCCCGGUAAACGGCGGUGGUAACUAUAACCAUCCUAAGGUAGCGAAAUUCCUUGUCGGGUAAGCUCCGACCUGCACGAAUGGCGUAACGACUUCCCCGCUGUCUCGACCAGGAGCUCGGCGAAAUUGCAGUACGAGUAAAGAUGCUCGUUAAGCGCAGAAGGACGAAAAGACCCCGGGACCUUUACUAUACCUUGGUAUUGGCGUCAGUCGCGGAUUGUGUAGCAUAGGCGGGAGGCUUCGAGGCGCGGGCGCCAGCCCGCGCGGAGCCGCAAGGUGAAAUACCGCUCUGUUCUCGUUUGACGUCUCACCUCGAACGGUCAUCCUGUUCAGGGACAGUGCCUGGCGGGUAGUUUAACUGGGGCGGUUGCCUCCCAAAGAGUAACGGAGGCGCUCAAAGGUCCGCUCAGCCCGGUUGGCAAUCGGGUGUCGAGUGCAAUCGCACAAGCGGGCUUGACUGCGAGGACGGCGGUCCGAGCAGGGACGAAAGUCGGAGAUAGUGAUCCGGUGCCGGCGCACGGGCGCGGCAUCGCUCAACGGAUAAAAGGUACCCCGGGGAUAACAGGCUGAUCAUUCCCAAGAGUCCAUAUCGACGGGAUGGGUUGGCACCUCGAUGUCGGCUCGUCGCAUCCUGGGGCUGGAGCAGGUCCCAAGGGUUCGGCUGUUCGCCGAUUAAAGCGGUACGCGAGCUGGGUUCAGAACGUCGUGAGACAGUUUGGUCUCUAUCCUCUGCGCUCGUUGGAAUCCUGGGGAGGCCUGCCCAUAGUACGAGAGGACCUGGGUGGACGAACCUCUGGUAUGCCGGUUGUCGCGCCAGCGGCACGGCCGGUUGGCUACGUUCGGGAGGGAUAACCGCUGAAAGCAUCUAAGCGGGAAGCCUGCUCCGAGAUUAGGAUUCCUUGGGCCCUUCGGGGUCCUGAAGCCCGCAUGUGGAACACGUGUUUGAUAGGCCGGAGGUGGAAGCCCCGCGAGGGGUGGAGCCGACCGGUACUAACGGGCGACGGCGACAU
rnacentral:rRNA from 1 species